AUUGAACGCUGGCGGCAUGCUUUACACAUGCAAGUCGAACGGCAGCACAGGGAGCUUGCUCCUGGGUGGCGAGUGGCGAACGGGUGAGUAAUGUAACGGAACGUGCCUGGUAGUGGGGGAUAACUACUCGAAAGAGUGGCUAAUACCGCAUGAGAUCUUUGGAUGAAAGCGGGGGACCUUCGGGCCUCGUGCUACUGGAGCGGCCGAUAUCAGAUUAGGUUGUUGGUGGGGUAAAGGCCUACCAAGCCUGCGAUCUGUAGCUGGUCUGAGAGGACGACCAGCCACACUGGGACUGAGACACGGCCCAGACUCCUACGGGAGGCAGCAGUGGGGAAUUUUGGACAAUGGGCGCAAGCCUGAUCCAGCAAUGCCGCGUGCAGGACGAAGGCCUUCGGGUUGUAAACUGCUUUUGUACAGAACGAAAAGUCUCUGGCUAAUAUCUAGAGAUCAUGACGGUACUGUAAGAAUAAGCACCGGCUAACUACGUG
rnacentral:rRNA from 1 species